CAUCCUACAUGCAGUCGAAUUAAAAAGGUGAAGAGAGAACAAAGAAGAAAUGACAACUUAUUAGAGAAGCUUUAAUGCAGAAACUGGAGCAAUACUGCAGUUUUCUGCUCAGCUGACACGUCGCUGUUCUGUCUGUGAGAGGGCAAAUGAUCUUGGACUGCCAUUGUUGCCCCCUCAAAAAAAAAAAAAAAAAAGCUUUGGCUGUUUCCCCCUUUACCAGCGCAGGGGCUGUACCUGCUAUAAUAGGCUGGCUUGCAUACUGGCUGUAGCUGGGUACAUGAUGGGCAUAGGCACCGUAGCAGGGGGU